GCCACAUGAUGAGUCCAAGGCGAAUGUGACUCCUCCUUCCUCUGGGUGUGGUCUCUGCCCCGUGGCCCCCGGUCUGUAAUCUUGGUGGCUGUGGAGAAGAGUCUCGCUGCCGCUGUAAGGCCAGACCUACAGCAGCCUAAUGGCGGUCUCUCUCAUCCAAUCCUGCCCUCCGAAGUCAGAGUGUGCAGAGACUGAGGGGGACCUAUAGGAAGUGCGGGGACCAAUAAGGGGCCGGGGCGGAGCUCAUCACUCAAUGACAGAGGUAACAAGGGGGAGAUGUGAGCACAUGUCUUUGGUAAUCUGAUGGCA